UCUUCGGCAAAUUUCGUAAACUUGGCCCGCCGAUAGGUUAUAAGUACGAGACGAGUCUCGCGCGGAGGUCAUUUCGCAACGAACUCUAGAACGGGUCGGAACUAUGACCCAUUUUUUAAAAUUCUCAUACGUAACGAAUAAAUUUUAAUCGUUUAUUUUUAAGCGCGUCUCGACAUGUAGUCACCUCCUCCCCGUGGCGAGACAAUUGAUAUCGAUUCACGCAAAUUCUUUUUCCAAAGGAUUAUUCUUCGCGCGAGCCGAGCCAAAAAGUAUGGAUCUAAACCAAAGAUUGGACUGCGGGUAUCAUUUUAUUACCCCCUCCCCUUCCUCGUGGGACACCAUGGGACACCGCGACUUAAUUUUAAUUUCACCCACACUUUUUAACGUAAUGUAACAAAUAUUAAAAUUAUUGUGAGCGCAUUCCCGUACGCAAACACACGCCUCCUUCCAAUUACUAAGAUAAAAAAUCUUGCCAAUUAUUAUCGUCAACCGAAUAUUCGAAUAUUUUCGUUAUUUCGUUUUAUUAAAAGGGGAAGGCGUGUGUUUCGAUUUACGGAUGCUGCCAGUAGGAAAAAUGUAUUAAAAGUAAACGUGAAAGUAUCGAUUGAUAUUUAUAUUUAAGCGUAGAUUGCGCGCGAGGAAAAAGAUUUUUCGUAAAGAUCGAUGUAAAUAUACGUUGCAUAUUUUUAACUAAUUAA